UGGAUGAUGUGGUUAAUUCGAUGCAACGCGAAAACCUUACCACCUUUGACAUGUACGGAAUCCUUUAGAGAUAGAGGAGUGCUCGAAAGAGAACCGUAACACAGGUGCUGCAUGGCUGUCGUCAGCUCGUGUCGUGAGAUGUUGGGUUAAGUCCCGCAACGAGCGCAACCCUUGUCAUUAGUUGCUACAUUCAGUUGGGCACUCUAAUGAGACUGCCGGUGACAAACCGGAGGAAGGUGGGGAUGACGUCAAGUCCUCAUGGCCCUUAUAGGUGGGGCUACACACGUCAUACAAUGGAUGGUACAAAGGGUCGCCAACCCGCGAGGGGGAGCCAAUCCCAUAAAGCCAUUCGUAGUCCGGAUCGCAGUCUGCAACUCGACUGCGUGAAGUCGGAAUCGCUAGUAAUCGUGGAUCAGAAUGUCACGGUGAAUACGUUCCCGGGUCUU
rnacentral:rRNA from 1 species